GUUUUUUUUCUUCUCCAUUUCUGUGUUUAUCUGAAGUACAAAGACGUUACAGAUUUACUCUGAAUCCACAAAUACUUCUAUAUUUACACAAACAGGUGCAAUUUCAGAGGUGAAAGGGGAACGCAGUGUUGUUUACUGACCUUAAAGUCUAUUUUUGAUCUGAGAUGAAGUCGUGUUUUGUCGGUUCUUAACUUAUUUAUUGUUUUUAACGAUUCCGUGGAGUUUUACAUGACGGCGGAGCUGCCUUUGAACAAGCUGCUGCUUCUUUACAAAAAAAUCUACAACCAAGUCUGUUAAACUCUCUGUGCUGUCACUGGAAGACCCUGGCUAACCACUAGCAUGGCUAGGCUAGCAAAUAGCAUCUCUAGCCAAGUCACAUCAUUAGCAUCUCUAGGCUAGCCACUAGCAUUCCUCAGCAAGUCAUUAGCACCCCUAGGCUAGCCACUAGCAUUCCUCAGCAAGUCAUUAGCAUCCUUAGACUAGCCACUAGCAUUCCCCAGCAAGUCAUUAGCACCACUAGGCUAGCCACUAGCAUCUCUAGGCUUGAGACUAGAAUUCUGAGGUUAUCCACUAGUAUUACUAGGCUAGAAAUAGGCUAGCGUCUAGCAUCUCUAGUUUUGAGACUAGCAUUCCUAGGCUAGCCACGAGUAUUCCUUGAUUAGCAACUAGCAUCCCUAGGUUUGAGACUAGAAUUCUGAGGUUAGCCAUGAGUAUUCCUUGGCUAGAAAUAGGCCAGUAAUUAGCAUCCCUAGGCUUGUCACUAGCAGUAUUAUGCUAAUGGCUUAUAUAGCUCGUCUAAGCUAGGGUAGCAACAAGAAUAUUUAAGCUAAUCAUUAGCAUUUUGAGGCUAGUGAGGAGCAUUUCUAGGCAAGUCACCAGUACUCUAAGGUUCUGAUAGAAUAGUCAUUAGCACUCCUAGACAAAUCAUUAGCAUUCCUAGGUUAGCAGUAGGCUAGUAACUAGCAUCCUGAGGCUAAUGACCAGCAUUCCCAGGCUUUGCUAAGCUAAAAACUCUAAUUCUUCGGCCUGUCACUUGGUUUCCGAGCAUAACGACCAGCUGAGGGGUUGUAACUUCUUUAAUCUUUGUUUUUUCUGUGAAUUACUGCUUAUUUUUACUUCUUUAUAUGGGUGGAGACUAGUCAAGGUUUUUCUUGUAAGUAUGGUUAAUUCAGAAGCUAUUUUACAAGCGAACAUCUUAAAAAAUGUAGUCUUAAUCUGUAGCCAGUGACCAAAGCUAAAAGAAACCACAAGUACCUCUGGAAUGUACAGAGCUGUAAUAGAGAAACUAAGACUUUUACUUUGAAAGUCUCAUGGAGCUCAGAUCAAAGGCAGCUUCACCCUCUGUGUGUUUUUAUGUCUGUAAAUAAUUAUUCUGAAUCCUAACCUGAGCUGAACACCAGUUUCAGAGGCACAAGGGAACAGGAUGCUUCAGAUGAUCUAUUUUAACAAAUGUUCCUCAGAUGUUCGGAUCAGAACCAGAACUGGUUUCCCCUGAAAAGUCUUGAAUCGUGGCUUCAGUCACAUGGAGCAGUCCGCCUUUUUUAUUCCAAAUGUUUUUACACACUAACCACUCUUUCAGCUGAGAACAUUUUUACCAGAAAAACAUUAAAAUCAAGUUUGUCCUCAAAGUGAAUAUUGGAGAGAAGUAACGAGGAACAUGCAGCGAUGUCAGAUUCACACUGUGAACAACGAGGCUAACGCAUCUAGUACGGGUUAUUAUAUAGCAUUAUAGUCAGCAGAAUUUACAGGAAACUGGCCAGUAGCAGCUAAAUUUAAGGUCUUCGUGGCUUUGUUCCAUCUUCAUUACACUGGAAAAAAAUGCCCUCUCAAAACAAGAAAAAAACUACUUUUUUUAAGGAACUUUUACUUUCAAAUAAGUGAAAAAAUCUGCCAAUAGAACAAGUGAAAAUGGUUUGGUAAGAUUUCUAGAAAUAAGAUAUGAUAUUUAGAAUAUUGAGAUCUUAAAAUUAGCUGGGAAAACUUAUUUUAAGCUCUAUUUUACCAGGAUUGUCAAGCUUAGGUGUCUUAAAAUAAGCCAGAUAUGCUUAAAAAAUAUAGUAGUUUUUCACUCAAAAAUAGAUUUUUGCUUUCAUGUAACCUCCUAAUUUGAGAUGUUUUAACCCUCCUGUUGUCCUCAUUUACGGGCACCAAAAAAUAUUGUUUCCUUGUCUGAAAAAAAAAUCCAAAAAUUCAGCAAAAAAAUUCCCCAAAUUUCUGAAAAUUUGCAAAACCUUCAGGAAGAAAAUUCCAAUAAUUUCUUAAGUUUCCCUUAAAAGUUUUGUUUUUUAAAAAUCCCCCAAAUUUGGCAAUUCUUGCAAAUAUUUUCAAAAAAUGAGUAAAAAUCUUGCAAAAAAUCCUAAAAAUAUCUAAAGUGAUUCCAUAUAUAUCAGUAAAACUUGUAAUAUUAUCUUUAAGAACAUUCACAUAAAAAUCAACCAAAAUCCAG
ensembl:lncRNA